UAUUUGGGUAUGAUAUUUACAUAACACUAUGAUACCCAAGAAUAGGGAGUGCUUAAGAGAACAAAAUAUUAUUAAUAUUACUAGAGCUCAUAGAUACCGUACUUUGUUCAUAACAGGUAAUGAAUUAUUAUUGUAUACUUUCAGCCAUAAAAAAUGGGAAGCAGUUGUGCAGUGUUUGUCAGUGCUUGAUGUUCUGAUAUCUCUUACAUGUUACGCAAAGGAAGUCAGUACUGUUAGACCAAACGUAGUUAUGCCUGAAGAAAAAGUUCAGCCAUUCCUAGAAAUCAGAGAUGGUCUUCAUCCAUGUGGGCAGCAACGUUUAGUGGUGAUGAAUUCAUUCCUAAUGAUGUGGUUAUGGGUGGCACUAGUGAAGAUGCUCAUUCGAACCUGGUGCUGGUCACAGGACCAAAUAUGGGUGGCAAAUCAACACUUAUGAGACAGACUGCUCUUAUAUGUAUUCUAGCACAGUUGGGAUCAUUUGUUCCUGCAAGGUCAUGCCAGUUGACUCC